CCUACGGGGGGCAGCAGUGGGGAAUAUUGCACAAUGGGGGGAACCCUGAUGCAGCAAUGCCGCGUGAAGGAUGAAGGUUUUCGGAUUGUAAACUUCUUUUGUACGGGACGAAGAAAGUGACGGUACCGUAAGAAUAAGCCACGGCUAACUACGUGCCAGCAGCCGCGUUAAUACGUAGGUGGCAAGCGUGAUCCGGAUGUACUGGGUGGAAAGGGCGGGUAGGCGGGAUUGCAAGUCAGAUGUGAAAACUAGGGGCUCAACCGGUAGAGUGCAUUUGAUACUGCAGUGCUUGAGUGAUGGAGAGGGAGGGGGAAUUCCCGGUGUAGCGGUGGAAUGCGUAGAGAUCGGGAGGAACACCAGUGGCGAAGGCGGCCUGCUGGACAUUAACUGACGCUGAGGCGCGAAAGCGUGGGGAGCAAACAGGAUUAGAUACCCGGGUAGUC
rnacentral:rRNA from 1 species